UACGGGGGGGGGCAAGCGUUGUUCGGAAUUACUGGGCGUAAAGGGCUCGUAGGCGGCCAACUAAGUCGGAUGUGAAAUCCCCAAGCUUAACUUGGGAACUGCAUCCGAUACUGGAUGGCUUGAAUCCGGGAGAGGGAUGCAGAAUUCCAGGUGUAGCGGUGAAAUGCGUAGAGAUCCGGAGGAACACCAGCGGCGAAGGCGGCGCCCUGGACUGGUACUGACGCUCAGGAGCGAAAGCGUGGGGAGCGAUCCGG
rnacentral:rRNA from 1 species